rnacentral:rRNA from 1 species
GGAGAAAAGCAGGGGAUCGCAAGACCUUGCGCUCAUUGAGCGGCCGAUGCCUGAUUAGCUAGUUGGUGAGGUAAAGGCUUACCAAGGCGACGAUCAGUAGCUGGUCUGAGAGGACGACCAGCCACACUGGGACUGAGACACGGCCCAGACUCCUACGGGAGGCAGCAGUGGGGAAUUUUGGACAAUGGGGGAAACCCUGAUCCAGCCAUGCCGCGUGAGUGAAGAAGGCCUUCGGGUUGUAAAGCUCUUUCAGCCGGAACGAAACGGUCACGGCUAAUACCUGUGACUACUGACGGUACCGGAAGAAGAAGCACCGGCUAACUACGUGCCAGCAGCCGCGGUAAUACGUAGGGUGCGAGCGUUAAUCGGAAUUACUGGGCGUAAAGCGUGCGCAGGCGGUUUUGUAAGUC